rnacentral:rRNA from 1 species
AGAGUUUGAUUCUGGCUCAGAGCGAACGUUGGCGAUGCGUCUUAAGCAUGCAAGUCGAGCGGGCUUAUUCGGGCAACUGGAUAAGUUAGCGGCGAACUGGUGAGUAACACGUAGGUAAUCUGCCGUGAAGUGGGGGAUAACCCAUGGAAACAUGGACUAAUACCGCAUAUACUCUUGCUACAUAAGUAGAGUAGAGGAAAGUUUUUUCGCUUCACGAUGAGCCUGCGGCCUAUUAGCCUGUUGGUAGGGUAAUGGCCUACCAAAGCUACGAUAGGUAGCCGACCUGAGAGGGUGACCGGCCACAUUGGGACUGAGAUACGGCCCAGACUCCUACGGGAGGCAGCAGCUGAGAAUCUUCCACAAUGGACGAAAGUCUGAUGGAGCGACAUCGCGUGAGGGAUGAAGGCCUUCGGGUUGUAAACCUCGGAAAUUAUCGAAGAAUGAGUGACAGUAGAUAAUGUAAGCCUCGGCUAACUACGUGCCAGCAGCCGCGGUAAUACGUAGGAGGCAAACGUUGCUCGGAUUUACUGGGCGUAAAGGGUGAGUAGGCGGAUUUAUAAGUCUAAGGUGAAAGACCGAAGCUCAACUUCGGGAACGCCUCGGAUACUGUAAGUCUUGGAUAUUGUAGGGGAUGAUGGAAUUCUCGGUGUAGCGGUGGAAUGCGCAGAUAUCGAGAGGAACACCUAUAGCGAAGGCAGUCAUCUGGGCAUUUAUCGACGCUGAAUCACGAAAGCUAGGGGAGCAAACAGGCUUAGAUACCCUGGUAGUCCUAGCCGUAAACGUUGUACACUAGGUGCUUCUAUUUAAAUAGGAGUGCCGUAGCUAACGUCUUAAGUGUACCGCCUGAGGAGUAUGCCCGCAAGGGUGAAACUCAAAGAAAUUGACGGGUCCCCGCACAAGUGGUGGAGCAUGUGGUUUAAUUCGAUGAUACGCGAAAAACCUUACCUGGGUUUGAAUUGUUAGAUGAAUGAUUUAGAGAUAAGUCAGACCGCAAGGACGUUUAACAUAGGUGCUGCAUGGCUGUCGUCAGCUCGUGUCGUGAGAUGUUGGGUUAAGUC